CAUUUGUUCUCUAAAUAAGGACUUGUAUGAAUGGCCACACGAGGGUUUUACUGUCUCUUACUUCUAAUCAGUGAAAUUGACCUCCCCGUGAAGAGGCGGGGAUAAACAAACAAGACGAGAAGACCCUAUGGAGCUUUAACUAACUGAUCCAAAGAGAACAAAACCUAACCACCAAGGGACAACAACACUACUUAUGGAUCAGCAGUUUCGGUUGGGGUGACCUCGGAGAAUAAAAAAUCCUCCGAACGAUUUUAAAGACCAGACCUACAAGUCAAAUCAAAUUAUCGAUUAUUGAUCCAAUAACUUGAUCAACGGAAUAAGUUACCCUAGGGAUAACAGCGCA
rnacentral:rRNA from 1 species